AAUGAUUUGUCUUAACAAACAAAAACAUUUAUCUGAAAAUAGGUAUGAGUACUGGACUGAAAACAGGUUAAAAAAUUUUAAAAAGCAGACAAUGUGCAUAGAAGAACGUUGAAAUACCUUCAAAAACCUGGAGAACUAUUGCUCAAGACCCCCACUAUAAAAUUAAGAGGGUCACUGGAAGCAAAGACUUGCAAAUUAGGAAUGAGUCAGCCCUGUCACGCGGUGUUCAGGUCACUUGAAUCGGGACUUUGGGACAGUGUGGCAGUGUUUGUUGAGAAAGCUUUUCCUAAAAAGGAAAUGUUACUCGCAUUCAGACUAAAGCUGCCUGAAUUUCCCCGAAAGAGAGUGGAAGAAUGACCUCCAAGGUCACAGUUAAAUGCAGGCUUGUUGGUUGCAUGGAAAAGGCGGAAGAGCUUAAAUCAGUGAUGAAGUUCGAGAAGGAUGAGGUCCGGUCUGUCUACAUGUGCGUGCCUCCUCUAGUCUCUGGGGACAUAAGUACUUCAUCCUGGGACCAUAAUGUUUCUGUAGAUUCCCAGUAAAAUCAACCAUCUUAAUAAGACUGCAAUGACAAACAGUUUAGCAGUGAUCAGAACUGAACUCUCUUUUGUCCAGAGAAGGCCACACUUUUCCAGAAUGAUUAUUCUAUUUUGAUUUCAUGCUCUACAAAUAAGAACUUAACACAUCUAAUGGACAGUACUGAAAAACAGUCCAGUAUUUCUGUGUAUGGCUUUUAACUUAGUGUUGCACAAAAGGCUUUUAACCUUCUGAAAUCUAAGCAUUCUCUCUAUAUGAAUAUUUUUAUAACUUUAACACAGCACAGAAAAAUAGUUUCCUUGGUUUGAAACGAGGAUGAUUGACAUAUUGUUAAAGACCCCAAGGUCUCAGUCAAUCCUCUUCAGCUUUUGAUAUUGAAACCCAAUCUCAGGACAAAGAGCAGAACUGUGCUUUUAAUUCCUGGUACACCUAACAGCUGUGGGGAUGACCGCAUGGAUUGUAAUGUCAGAGGUAUAAGUAGCCUUAAAUGGGGCGAGCAGUGUGGUGUGACUCCUCCAAAUGACUGUGGUAUUAAUUCAUCUGUUCAGUGAUACAUGCUUGAUAGAUCACAUCGCGUAUUUCAUUUAAAACCCUAUAAAUAUGAAUUUCUCAUCAUUAUACUCGCACUUUAGGAAAGUUUAGUCUGUGCUUGACAUGGCAUUGUGUGUUAAUUCAGCGCCGUCACAAAGGGGUCGAAGUUAUGUGACCUGUAUUCAAGGUCAAAUAUCCGUGACGACAGGUUGCAUGCAGUGUGUAUCUGUGGCUUCGGCUGUCCGAAACGCUCCACUUGAAGAGAUAGGGCAGAGAGCUGUUGUCUGAGAAUGCAGGCAAUAUGUGUCAACACCAAAUUCAAAUCUGCCACGGAAGGAGACAAUUGAUAAGUGAACAAGCACCCGUGCUCGCAGGGGGAAAUAAAAAUACUAAGAUGAUGACAUGGAUUUAGUGUUCAUGUACUGCUCACCUAUACUGUGUAUCUUUUAGACACAACUGGAGAGCUGAUUAGUUUUUGAUCACGUAGUUUGAAAUCUGACUCCAGUUGUAUGUUACGCAUCUUGUUUCAUGUUUUAAGUUUUUCCAACAAUUUAUAGUCUUCUGAAUGACUUACCUGUCCAGACUUGUACCAUAAAGGGGCCUGAAUUAAAAUAAGUGUUAUCACCUUAUGAAAUUUUUCGUAUUAUUUCUCUUCAAAUCACAGUGUUAUAUAACUCAUUUAUCACUGAGAUGAGCUGAAAUACAAAACAUACAAACACUUUUC
ensembl:lncRNA